AGAAGGGAGAGGAGAGUGGAGACAGAAAGGGGUUAGGGUUGAGAGGGGAAAGAAGGGCGGGAGGCAGAGAGUCCGACACCGGUACCGGGGUCAGCGGAGGAGAGGAGUGGAGCUGUUGGGAACUGGGAAGAGACAGAGUUGACUCUAAAUAAACACACAGAUUAUAUAUAAAAAGGAAAUAAAAAUAGAGAGGGAGCCGGAAAGAAUCGAGGCUGCGAACAACCCAACUCCAACCAACCAACAACUGAGUGGCACUCGUUUUUUCUGCAAUUAGUUAAAAAAGUUGUCAAAGCGAAAAUGGGGAGUGAGAGUAAUUUGAAGACUUGGGUCUCUGAUAAGUUAAUGUCGUUGCUUGACUAUUCCCAGCCUACACUUGUUCAGUAUAUUAUCGGACUAGCUAAGCAAGCAGCAUCACCUACUGAUCUACUGGGCCGGCUAGAAGAAUGUGGCUUACCAUCAUCAAGUGAGACCCGUUUAUUUGCUCAAGAAAUCUUCAGUAGAGUUCCUCGUAAAAUAUCUGGCGAAAAUCUUUACCAGAAACAAGAAAGGGAAGCUGCUAUCUUGGCUAGGAAGCAAAAGACUUAUGCAAUUUUAGAUGCUGAUGACAAUGAAGAUGACACUGGUACCAGUUCAAGUGUUCAUCACCAUUCUUCCAGUGAGCCCAUUUCUGAGGCCAGAAAAGCAGAUAAACAUAAGAAACGAUUCAGGAAGAAGAUUGGAAGCGAAGAAGAUGAGGAUGAUGAGGUGAUCACACAUGUAGAAGAAGAGAGACGAGUUAAAAGGCGGACUUCUCAAGAUGAGGAUGAUGGUUCAGAGUCAGAGGAAGAAAGGUUGCGUGAUCAAAGAGAGAGGGAGGAUUUAGAGAGAAAUAUUAGAGAACGUGAUGCUGCAGCCACUAGGAAGUUAAUGGAUCCAAAGCUUUCCCGAAAGGAGGAAGAGGAGGCCAUUCGAAGAUCUAAAGCUUUCAAGGAAGAUGACAUUAAUAGUUUAAGAAAAGUUUCAAGACAAGAGUACUUAAAAAAGAGGGAGCAGAAGAAGCUUGAGGAACUCAGGGACGAAAUAGAAGAUGAGCAAUACCUUUUUGAUGAUGUGAAGCUUACUGAAGCAGAAUAUCAUGAGUUAAGCUACAAAAAGGAAAUAUAUGAGCUUGUGAAGAAGCGGACAGAAGAGGAUGAAAAUAUGGGUGAGUACAAAAUGCCAGAAGCUUAUGAUCAGGAAGGGGUUGUUGAUCAGGAGAAGAGAUUUGCUGUGGCUCUUCAGCGUUACAGAGACCCUACUGCUGGGGAUAAAAUGAAUCCAUUUGCAGAACAAGAGGCUUGGGAAGAGCAUCAAAUUGGCAAGGCUACAUUGAAAUUUGGCUCCAAAAAUAAGAAGCAAACAGCUGAUGACUAUCAAUUUGUGUUCGAGGAUCAGAUUGAGUUUAUCAAGGCAUCAGUGAUGGAUGGUGACAAGUUUGAUAAUGACCUGCCAACUGAGUCACCUGAGACAUCCAAGGCAAAAUCAGAAUUGGAGAAACUACAGGAGGACAGAAAAACUUUGCCAAUUUAUCCAUACCGAGAUGAUCUACUUAAAGCUGUUGAAGAUUUUCAGGUUCUUGUUAUUGUGGGAGAAACUGGUUCAGGAAAGACCACACAGAUACCACAAUAUCUUCAUGAAGCUGGUUACACCAAACACGGGAAGGUUGGUUGUACACAGCCUCGAAGAGUUGCUGCUAUGAGUGUUGCUGCUCGAGUUUCUCAGGAAAUGGGUGUCAAACUUGGGCAUGAGGUUGGUUAUUCUAUCCGUUUUGAAGAUUGCACGUCAGAAAAGACUGUGUUGAAAUAUAUGACAGACGGAAUGCUGUUGCGAGAAUUGCUUGGUGAACCUGAUCUUGCAAGCUACAGUGUGAUAAUGGUGGAUGAGGCUCAUGAAAGAACUGUGUCAACUGAUAUUCUUUUCGGAUUGGUGAAGGAUAUAGCACGGUUUAGAAAGGAUAUUAAAUUACUUAUUUCAAGCGCAACACUUGAUGCGGAGAAGUUCAGUGAUUUUUUCGAUUCUGCUCCAAUUUUCAAAAUUCCUGGGAGAAGGUAUCCUGUUGAGAUACACUACACAAAAGCGCCGGAAGCUGAUUACUUGGAUGCUGCAAUUGUUACUGUACUUCAAAUCCAUGUGUCACAGUCACCUGGAGAUAUUUUGGUUUUUCUCACUGGUCAAGAAGAAAUUGAGACGGCGGAAGAAAUUUUGAAGCAUAGAAUAAAAGGCUUUGGGACAAAAAUUGCAGAACUUAUAAUCUGCCCUAUAUAUGCCAACCUUCCAACUGAACUUCAAGCCAAAAUAUUUGAACCUACUCCUGAAGCUGCACGCAAAGUAGUCCUGGCAACAAAUAUUGCAGAAACAUCAUUAACCAUUGAUGGGAUUAAGUAUGUCAUUGAUCCAGGUUUUUGCAAGAUGAAAUCUUAUAAUCCAAGGACUGGGAUGGAGUCUUUGCUGGUAACUCCCAUCUCUAAAGCUUCAGCUAAUCAACGUGCUGGUCGGUCUGGGCGAACGGGCCCAGGAAAGUGUUUUCGGUUGUACACUGCCUACAAUUAUUAUACUGAAUUGGAUGACAAUACACCACCAGAGAUACAACGGACCAAUCUUGCCAGUGUUGUUCUUUCUUUGAAGAGUCUUGGAAUUCAUGACUUGAUAAAUUUUGAUUUUAUGGAUCCACCACCAGCUGAGGCUCUACUGAAAGCAUUGGAACUUCUCUUUGCACUGAGUGCAUUAAAUAAACUUGGGGAGUUGACAAAAGUUGGUAGACGAAUGGCAGAGUUCCCUCUUGAUCCUAUGCUAUCAAAAAUGAUAGUUGCUUCAGACAAGUACAAGUGUUCAGAUGAGGUUAUUUCCAUUUCUGCCAUGCUUUCUGUGGGGAAUUCAAUCUUUUACCGUCCGAAGGACAAACAAGUUCAUGCUGACAAUGCAAGGAUGAAUUUUCAUACUGGGAAUGUGGGUGACCAUAUUGCUUUAAUGAAGGUUUACAAUUCUUGGAGGGAAACAAAUUACUCAACACAAUGGUGUUAUGAAAAUUAUAUUCAGGUCAGGAGCAUGAAGCGUGCCAGAGACAUUAGGGACCAAUUAGAAGGUCUUUUGGAGAGAGUUGAAAUUGAACUAACAUCCAAUUUAAAUGAUUUAGAGGCUAUAAAAAAGGCCAUAACAUCUGGAUUUUUCCCUCAUUCGGCAAGGUUGCAGAAAAAUGGUUCUUAUCGGACUGUGAAGCAUCCACAGACUGUCUAUAUACAUCCAAGCUCAGGGUUGGCACAAGUGCUCCCAAGAUGGGUUGUGUAUCAUGAAUUGGUUCUUACUACCAAGGAAUAUAUGAGACAGGUAACUGAACUGAAGCCAGAUUGGUUGGUGGAAAUAGCCCCACAUUAUUACCAGAUGAAGGAUGUUGAGGAUUCUGGAUCAAAGAAAAUGCCAAAGGGACAGGGGCGUGCAGCAGAGUAACCGGUGGCUUCUUUUGGUUUGAGAGGGGCAUAUGAUUGCUUCCGUAUAGAAAAAGAACAACUUGGUUUACAACCAAGGGGAUAAGGAUAAAAGAGUCAAAUGACAUGUUUCUUUGGUGGAGGUUCCAUGGAGUACCGACUGCCAGAGUACUAGAUUUCAGCAACCCAAGUCAAUUUUUUGUUUUAGUUUUUGCCCGCUGCGACCAUCUUGGUGGGUUAGAGUUGGCGUUUGGAUCUACAAGUGCGUGCAUUUGAAUCCUGCCUGGUUGUUGGGUCUUCCUCAAAAGCCAGUAUUCAGCUAACUCCAGUACAUUUUGGUCUUCCACGUGCUACCUAAUUUUAUGCUCCGAUUUGACAUGUUAUAGAUUUUCAGCCAGGUUCUAUAGCGAUCUGAUCGGAACACAUGCAAAAUGCCUGGUACUAUUACUGUCGGUGGCCGACAAUAUUUGGCUCCAAGUUAGUACGGUUCUUAGGCAAAUAACCACAGUACAGAUUGCACAUGGUAAAAUUUAACAACCCUGUUUCUUGUAUUGCGGCUGUGGCAGAAGACAAAUAAGAAAGUUUUUGUAAUGAAGUAAAUGAAACAUUAUCGAUUUAUUCUUA